CCUACGGGAGGCAGCAGUGGGGAAUAUUGCACAAUGGGGGAAACCCUGAUGCAGCGACGCCGCGUGAGUGAAGAAGUAAUUCGGUACGUAAAGCCCUAUUAGCAGGGAAGAAAAUGAGGGUAACUGAGUGUGAAGCUUCCGCGAACUACGUGCCAGCAGCCGCGGUAAUACGUAGGGGGCACGCGUUAGCCGGAUUUACUGGGUGUAAAGGGAGCGUAGUCGGUAGUGCAAGUCUGGAGUGAAAGGCGGGGGCUCAACCCCCGGAGUGCACUGGAAACUGUACGGCUGGAGUGCAGGAGAGGUGAGUGGAAUUCCUAGUGUAGCGGUGAAAUGCGUAGAUAUUAGGAGGAACACCAGUGGCGAAGGCGGCUUACUGGACUGUAACUGACGCUGAGGCUCGAAAGCGUGGGGAGCAAACAGGAUUAGAUACCCCUGUAGUC
rnacentral:rRNA from 1 species